rnacentral:lncRNA from 1 species
GUAACAAUACAAAAUGCAUUUGACACCUCUAUGCUUUAGAAAGCUGCGAGGCUCAGCAGAGGCAGCCUGUAAACUGGCUGGGGCAACUACAAAGCAACCGCCGGCACAGAAGGACGCCCACCCCAUGUUGUAAGCUUACACAUGUGAAGGGGACAACGGGCAAAACCCAUUCUGUCCUUUUGCAAUAUUAUCUGGGCCUGGAGUGCCUACGACAGCUGGCCCAAGCCUCCUGUCUGCGGGGCAGGACUGCUGGAACCAUUGUGAAGCUCCAGGUAGGCCUGAGAAGGUGCCUGUGCACCUGCCUGGGCUCUGUAGGAAUAGAGAGCAGGUGCCUGGAAACUUCGCACAGCAAUGAGGGCCACCCACUCUUCCAACUCAUAUCUGUCCCUGUGUCAUUGACCAGUCCCCCAGGACACUUACAAAAAGGUCACCAGGAAAAAGUCUGCCUCCGUCCUGCCACCCCUUGGUCCAGUCCCCAUCGCCCUCCUUCCCUGGGCCAGGUACCUCUCCUGUCUCCCAGCCCCACUCUGGCCCUUUCCCUCCAAAACAAGUGAGACAGCUGACUCAUGCCUUGAGGAAAGCUAUUUAUUUCCAAGAUAUAGACUGUACUUUUAAGACAGGACUUUUCAGAAGCAGGAAAUUUUAGUUGUUGCCAGA